rnacentral:rRNA from 1 species
GAGAGUUUGAUCCUGGCUCAGGAUGAACGCUGACAGAAUGCUUAACACAUGCAAGUCUACUUGAACUUCGGUUUGGGUGGCGGACGGGUGAGUAACGCGUAAAGAACUUGCCUCACAGUUAGGGACAACAUUUGGAAACGAAUGCUAAUACCUGAUAUUAUGAUUUUAGGGCAUCCUAAGAUUAUGAAAGCUAUAUGCGCUGUGAGAGAGCUUUGCGUCCCAUUAGCUAGUUGGAGAGGUAACGGCUCACCAAGGCGAUGAUGGGUAGCCGGCCUGAGAGGGUGAACGGCCACAAGGGGACUGAGACACGGCCCUUACUCCUACGGGAGGCAGCAGUGGGGAAUAUUGGACAAUGGACCAAAAGUCUGAUCCAGCAAUUCUGUGUGCACGAUGACGUUUUUCGGAAUGUAAAGUGCUUUCAGUUGGGAAGAAAAAAAUGACGGUACCAACAGAAGAAGUGACGGCUAAAUACGUGCCAGCAGCCGCGGUAAUACGUAUGUCACAAGCGUUAUCCGGAUUUAUUGGGCGUAAAGCGCGUCUAGGUGGUUAUGUAAGUCUGAUGUGAAAAUGCAGGGCUCAACUCUGUAUUGCGUUGGAAACUGCAUGACUAGAGUACUGGAGAGGUAAGCGGAACUACAAGUGUAGAGGUGAAAUUCGUAGAUAUUUGUAGGAAUGCCGAUGGGGAAGCCAGCUUACUGGACAGAUACUGACGCUAAAGCGCGAAAGCGUGGGUAGCAAACAGGAUUAGAUACCCUGGUAGUCCACGCCGUAAACGAUGAUUACUAGGUGUUGGGGGUCGAACCUCAGCGCCCAAGCUAACGCGAUAAGUAAUCCGCCUGGGGAGUACGUACGCAAGUAUGAAACUCAAAGGAAUUGACGGG